GGCGACGCCGCGUGAGUGAUGAGGGCCUUCGGGUUGUAAAGCUCUGUGGGGAGAGAAGAAUAAGUGCGGGCUAAUACCCCGCAUGAUGACGGUAUCUCCUUAGCAAGCACCGGCUAACUCUGUGCCAGCAGCCGCGGUAAGACAGAGGGUGCAAACGUUGUUCGGAAUUACUGGGCGUAAAGCGAGUGUAGGCGGUUUGGUAAGUCGGAUGUGAAAGCCCCGGGCUCAACCCGGGAAGUGCACUCGAUACUGCCAAGCUAGAGUAUCGGAGAGGUUGGUGGAAUUCUCGGUGUAGAGGUGAAAUUCGUAGAUAUCGAGAGGAACACCGGUGGCGAAGGCGGCCAACUGGACGAAUACUGACGCUGAGACUCGAAAGCGUGGGGAGCAAACAGGAUUAGAUACCCUGGUAGUCCACGCCGUAAACGAUGGGUGCUAGGUGUCGCGGGCUUUGACUCCUGCGGUGCCGUAGCUAACGCAUUAAGCACCCCGCCUGGGAAGUACGGCCGCAAGGCUAACACUCAAAGGAAUUG
rnacentral:rRNA from 1 species